rnacentral:rRNA from 1 species
GAUUAUGGCUCAGGAUGAACGCUGGCGGCGUGCCUAACACAUGCAAGUCGAACGGAGCUGCUUUGAUGAAGUUUUCGGAUGGAUUUAAAACAGCUUAGUGGCGGACGGGUGAGUAACGCGUGGGUAACCUGCCUCACACUGGGGGAUAACAGUUAGAAAUAGCUGCUAAUACCGCAUAAGCGCACGGUUCCGCAUGGAACAGUGUGAAAAACUCCGGUGGUGCGAGAUGGACCCGCGUCUGAUUAGCCAGUUGGCGGGGUAACGGCCCACCAAAGCGACGAUCAGUAGCCGGCCUGAGAGGGUGAACGGCCACAUUGGGACUGAGACACGGCCCAAACUCCUACGGGAGGCAGCAGUGGGGAAUAUUGCACAAUGGGGGAAACCCUGAUGCAGCGACGCCGCGUGAGUGAAGAAGUAUUUCGGUAUGUAAAGCUCUAUCAGCAGGGAAGAAAGUGACGGUACCUGAAUAAGAAGCCCCGGCUAACUACGUGCCAGCAGCCGCGGUAAUACGUAGGGGGCAAGCGUUAUCCGGAUUUACUGGGUGUAAAGGGAGCGUAGACGGCAAGGCAAGUCUGAAGUGAAAGCCCGGUGCUUAACGCCGGGACUGCUUUGGAAACUGUUUGGCUGGAGUGCCGGAGAGGUAAGCGGAAUUCCUAGUGUAGCGGUGAAAUGCGUAGAUAUUAGGAAGAACACCAGUGGCGAAGGCGGCUUACUGGACGGUAACUGACGUUGAGGCUCGAAAGCGUGGGGAGCAAACAGGAUUAGAUACCCUGGUAGUCCACGCCGUAAACGAUGAUUGCUAGGUGUAGGUGGGUAUGGACCCAUCGGUGCCGCAGCUA